AGCUUUUGUUCAUCUGUUUCUAGCCCCGCGCCGGAGAGCAGGAGCCAUUGCUACUCAGUCCCCCCGCCGUCGCCUGCGUGUUCGCGCCUCGCUUCGCCUCUCGCAGGAAGUGGAUACCGAAAUAGUUUCGCCCUCGGACGUUUGGUUUCUAAACCUUCCUCAACUAAGAAACUCGACAUGGAGAACGAGAACAAAUACCUCCCGCAGCUGCUGGCGGAGCGCGACAGCCUGGACGCGUCGUUCACGCACGCCAUGAAACUUAUCACAGCAGAAAUUGAGAGGGUUGAGAAAGGAGAGACUGAGAAAGACACAGAAAGCUAUCUGGACCUCUUCACCCAGAAAAACAUCAAACUGAAGGAACGGGUUCUCAUACCAGUCAAACAGUACCCUAAGUUUAACUUUGUUGGGAAGAUCCUUGGACCACAGGGGAACACAAUCAAGAGACUGCAGGAGGAGACUGGCGCUAAGAUCUCUGUGCUGGGGAAAGGAUCCAUGAGGGACAAAACCAAGGAGGAGGGCUUGAGGAAGAGUGGAGAGCCGAAGUAUGCACACUUGUCCAUGGAGCUUCAUGUGUUUAUUGAGGUGUUUGCUCCUGUUCCUGAGGCAUAUGUGCGUAUGGCGCAUGCCAUGGAGGAGAUCAAAAAGUUCUUGUUCCCUGACAUGAUGGAUGAGAUUUGCCAGGAGCAAUUCAUGGAGAUGAAGUUCCUAAAUGGUGGUCAGGAACAUGGGGGCAGAGGCCGAGGAGGACCACCAAUCAGAGGCCGUGGAGGUCUUCCUCCUCCUGGAGUACCCAGGGGUCGUGGCAUGCCCCCACGUGGUGGUCGUGGUGGACCCCCUCGAGGUGGAGCAGUAAGGGGAGCGCCUGCAGGUAGAGGAGGACCAUCAGCCCAGCCGCCCAGAGGAGCAGCUUCCAACCGUGCUCGUCCACCCGCCCCUGCGUCUCAGAGGAUGCCCCCUCCGCCACCCCCACACCCUCCGACCCAGGACUCGUAUGAAGAAUAUUCUUAUGAUGAGAGCUACACAGAGGCAGGCUAUGAAUCCUAUGACAGCUACUACAAUCAGCCACAAGCAGAACCAGAAUACUAUGACUAUGGACAUGGAGAGACACAGGAAGGCUAUGAAAACUACGCUCAAGAUGACUGGAAUGGGACACCGCGCCCUGCUGGCGGAGGAAAAGCUCCCACUCAGAGACAGACUAAGCCUGGGUUAAGGGAACACCCCUAUGGACGAUACUAAGUCUGAUUAGUGGAACGUCACCCAACGCGUCGCCAUGACAACUGUCUCCCAUGGCAGCUCACGCUUUAAGCUACCCGACAAAAGUUGUGAUGCCUAGCAAUUCCUGGAAAUUGGAACAUUUAAUCGAAUGUCAGACCUCCUCUCAGGAAAAGACAAGCGUUUAUUCGCAGUGUAAGAGCAGUCUUACCUUUGAACACCAGCUGCCUUUAAGGAACCAUGGACAGUCUGACUGAACGGCUUCUGAACAGUGUGGAAUGGCAGAAAUCGAUGGCCCUGUCGGCUAAAGUUUGAACCAGCAACCUCUUAAUGGUUUAAAGCUUGAGUUCUUGGUGCUGUUUACACUGGCUCUCCAGUCGUAACGCAAGGUCAUUUUCUCUGUACUGAAAGUUUCUCUUUACUGUUCACCUCAUCAAGUGCUUUCUAAGCAUACUUUACUUCGUCUUUAAAUUGACUACUUUUGCUCAUGUUGGCCAAGAAAUCAUUUUAACAAGCUCAAAAAAUUCUGUCCGGGCUCUCCAGACGUCUACCUCAGACAAUACUCCAGUGCUUUAUUCUGCAAGACAAGCAUGUCUUCCCCGGUUCCUCGCUCGGAGGAACGUACAUGCUAAUUUGGAGCUGUCCGGACCCUAUCUCUUAGCACAGACUUUGUCCGUUAAUUGCCAUGGUAAUUUUCAUUGUGCUCUUGAGUAGAUAUGUUUGAAUGGGUUUGUGCUGGUGGAGCUCUCUUGCAGUUUGUAUGAAUCACAAAUGAAUCUUGCGUCUGAUGAACCAAGCGCAGAAGGCUCCAGGGCUUUGCAGUAGUGUAGCGUAACAGUUGAUCUAAAUCAUAUAAACAUUUUUACCUUGUGGAAAAAGGUCUUAUUUUGUCCUAAAUGAGAGCUUACCGUAAACUCUGCUUUUUCUAAUGCUCGCUGUGUUUGGCGCUGGGCAUGUGUCUGUGUUGCUGUCAGAGUAUAUCAUUGUAGCUUCCAUCUCUUGCUCACCCCCUCCUCCCCUCCAGCACACACAGGAUUUGAGCCCGUCAUUCUGACCAAUUACCGCUGCUGACAGUGUGUCCGUCCCCCUGCAGAGCCGCCAGUGGUUGCCGACUGGCUAACAGGACUAAUGCCUUAUUGCAUUAGAGACAAAUCAGUCCUCUGCACAGAUUUUAAUAAGCAUCAGCCACCGCUCAAGUGCCAUCGAACAAUUGGAAAUGAGUGUGUGUGUGUGUGGGUAGGAGGUUGACCGGUUUGUAUGCAGACUUCACUGUAAUGAGAAAUCGCAAAAGCAGACAAUGGAAAUAUUUAAUUCAUUUCCCACACAGAUGCUGGAGGGAGGGUAACAAAAACUACUCUCAAGGAGGAGGAAGUGUUCAAACCCACUGUGUGUACUUAAUGGCUCUUUGUUUACACGGCCAUAUCUGUUUGCGUCGGACAUGCGUGGCCUACAGCUGCUGGGGGAAUGCCUCUGGGGUAAUGUGCAAGGCAUGUGUGGCAGUCUGAAACUGGGGGAUUGUGGCUUGGCAGCUCUUUCCUCUUAACACACAUUGUGCAUGCUGAAAACAGGAAGCAUGGCUUUGCGAAUGCAGAUGAAAUGCAAAACACUUACACCACUGACGGUCUGUCUUCUUGCAUGGCUAUUUUGCUAGUUUCACACCUAACCAGUACAUGCUCUCCAGGGAGUCAGGGUUUUGAGUGCACAGGGAGGAGUUGUGACUGUUUCUGGCUCGUGUCCUGGAGUACUGUGGCCGCUGGCCACCUCCUUUAGUGUGAAAUGCUGGUAAUAACUAAGCCUCCUAAAGGUCUCUCUCAGUGUGCUCUGAUGAAAAUGAAUUGAAUAAAUCCAUGUGGAAUCUGGCUCCAGUAAUCCGUAGUCCUCUAGGACUAAAAGUUGGACACCUCCACCUUGGCCGUCGCUAAAGUAACAUUCCAUUGCAUGUUUUCCAACAUCCACAUCAGCAGACGCACCUAACACAAUGUCAGGAAACCAUGGGAGUUGCUUGGGAUUAGUGAUGAAAUGCAUGUGCUGGGAGUCUGAAUUCUUUUGUUUUCCUAAGGAGAUUGAUGAGCCUGUAUUUACAGUGCAACUGAACUGAGUUUGAGCUUAUUGAAGUGCCUAGCUGUUGGCCUUAUCUCAGUAUAAGCAAACUAAAGCCUUUGGGGUCAGAGAAAGCAUUUGGUGACUUGAGGGAGCGGACAGAAUUUUUAAGAAAAUGUUUUUACGUUUGAAAGUCAUUCAAACUUGUUUUGGAUGCACCGAGUACCAGAGCACUCGCAUACACACAGCCUGCAAAUUAUGUUUGACUACAAAGAGAAUACUUCACAGAUGGUUUUUUUUUUUUACCUGUUUUGUAAUGUCAAAAAUAAACUAAAUUCAAGAAGUGGC